GACGAACGCUGGCGGCGUGCUUAACACAUGCAAGUCGAACGGUAAGGCCCUUCGGGGUACACGAGUGGCGAACGGGUGAGUAACACGUGGGUGAUCUGCCCUGCACUUCGGGAUAAGCCUGGGAAACUGGGUCUAAUACCGGAUAGGACUCCGGACUGCAUGGGCUGGGGUGGAAAGCUUUUGCGGUGUGGGAUGGGCCCGCGGCCUAUCAGCUUGUUGGUGGGGUGAUGGCCUACCAAGGCGACGACGGGUAGCCGGCCUGAGAGGGUGACCGGCCACACUGGGACUGAGAUACGGCCCAGACUCCUACGGGAGGCAGCAGUGGGGAAUAUUGCACAAUGGGCGCAAGCCUGAUGCAGCGACGCCGCGUGAGGGAUGACGGCCUUCGGGUUGUAAACCUCUUUCAGCAUCGACGAAGCGAAAGUGACGGUAGGUGCAGAAGAAGGACCGGCCGACUACGUGCCAGCCGCCGCAGUAA
rnacentral:rRNA from 1 species